CAGGAAGACGCGAACGGCGGGAGACAUGGGAGAGCGAGGAUAAAGAGAGAGUGGGUCAUUCCUCCACCACACCUGGAAGAAAACAAGGAUUACACGAGGAAGGCGUUCAUUGCCAAGAUAAGAUCUGACAAAGCGGAGCCAACUGAGAAGUUGAUCUACGACUUACAUGGGCCUGGUGCUGACCUGCCGCCAGUGAACUUGUUCAUCCUUAACCAAACAAGCGGCUUUGUCAGAAUUACUGGAAUUUUGGACAGAGAAGCCAUUGCAAACUACACACUAUCUGCCUCUGCACGAUUUCUAAGGAACUUGACAUUAGCAGAAGACUAUCUCACGAUGAAAAUUGUCGUUACUGACG